rnacentral:rRNA from 1 species
GACGAACCGAGCGAACGUUGUUCGGAAUCACUGGGCUUAAAGGGCGCGUAGGCGGGCUGUCAAGUCUGGGGUGAAAUCCCGCGGCUCAACCGUGGAACUGCCUCAGAUACUGACGGCCUCGAGGGAGGUAGGGGCGAGCGGAACUAAUGGUGGAGCGGUGAAAUGCGUUGAUAUCAUUAGGAACUCCGGUGGCGAAGGCGGCUCGCUGGACCUCUUCUGACGCUGAGGCGCGAAAGCCAGGGGAGCAAACGGG